rnacentral:rRNA from 1 species
GACGAACGCUGGCGGCGUGCUUAACACAUGCAAGUCGAACGGUAAGGCCCUUCGGGGUACACGAGUGGCGAACGGGUGAGUAACACGUGACUAACCUGCCCCUUUCUCUGGGACAACGCUCCGAAAGGAGUGCUAAUACCGGAUACUCACAUCGAGGCACAUGCCUUGAUGUGGAAAGUUUUUCGGAAAGGGAUGGAGUCGCGGCCUAUCGGCUUGUUGGGGAGGUAACGGCUCACCAAGGCGACGACGGGUGGCCGGCCUGAGAGGGCGACCGGCCACACUGGGACUGAGACACGGCCCAGACUCCUACGGGAGGCAGCAGUGGGGAAUAUUGCACAAUGGGCGAAAGCCUGAUGCAGCGACGCCGCGUGAGGGAUGAAGGUCUUCGGAUUGUAAACCUCUUUCAGUAGGGACGAAGCGAAAGUGACGGUACCUAAAGAAGAAGCACCGGCUAACUACGUGCCAGCAGCCGCCGUAA